GACGAACGCUGGCGGCGUGCUUAACACAUGCAAGUCGAACGGAAAGGCCCUGCUUUUGUGGGGUGCUCGAGUGGCGAACGGGUGAGUAACACGUGAGUAACCUGCCCUUGACUUUGGGAUAACUUCAGGAAACUGGGGCUAAUACCGGAUAGGAGCUCCUGCUGCAUGGUGGGGGUUGGAAAGUUUCGGCGGUUGGGGAUGGACUCGCGGCUUAUUAGCUUGUUGGUGGGGUAGUGGCUUACCAAGGCUUUGACGGGUAGCCGGCCUGAGAGGGUGACCGGCCACAUUGGGACUGAGAUACGGCCCAGACUCCUACGGGAGGCAGCAGUGGGGAAUAUUGCACAAUGGGCGGAAGCCUGAUGCAGCAACGCCGCGUGCGGGAUGACGGCCUUCGGGUUGUAAACCGCUUUCGCCUGUGACGAAGCGUGAGUGACGGUAAUGGGUAAAGAAGCACCGGCUAACUACGUGCCAGCAGCCGCGGUGAUACGUAGGGUGCGAGCGUUGUCCGGAUUUAUUGGGCGUAAAGGGCUCGUAGGUGGUUGAUCGCGUCGGAAGUGUAAUCUUGGGGCUUAACCCUGAGCGUGCUUUCGAUACGGGUUGACUUGAGGAAGGUAGGGGAGAAUGGAAUUCCUGGUGGAGCGGUGGAAUGCGCAGAUAUCAGGAGGAACACCAGUGGCGAAGGCGGUUCUCUGGGCCUUUCCUGACGCUGAGGAGCGAAAGCGUGGGGAGUGAACGGGCUUAGAUACCCUGGUAGUCCACGCUGUAAACGGUGGGUACUAGGUGUGGGGUCCAUUCCACGGGUUCCGUGCCGUAGCUAACGCUUUAAGUACCCCGCCUGGGGAGUACGGCCGCAAGGCUAAAACUCAAAGGAAUUGACGGGGCCCCGCACAAGCGGCGGAGCAUGCGGAUUAAUUCGAUGCAACGCGUAGAACCUUACCUGGGUUUGACAUGGAUCGGGAGUGCUCAGAGAUGGGUGUGCCUCUUUUGGGGUCGGUUCACAGGUGGUGCAUGGCUGUCGUCAGCUCGUGUCGUGAGAUGUUGGGUUAAGUCCCGCAACGAGCGCAACCCUUGUUCACUGUUGCCAGCACGUUAUGGUGGGGACUCAGUGGAGACCGCCGGGGUCAACUCGGAGGAAGGUGGGGAUGACGUCAAGUCAUCAUGCCCCUUAUGUCCAGGGCUUCACGCAUGCUACAAUGGCUGGUACAGAGAGUGGCGAGCCUGUGAGGGUGAGCGAAUCUCGGAAAGCCGGUCUCAGUUCGGAUUGGGGUCUGCAACUCGACCUCAUGAAGUCGGAGUCGCUAGUAAUCGCAGAUCAGCAACGCUGCGGUGAAUACGUUCCCGGGGCU
rnacentral:rRNA from 1 species